rnacentral:rRNA from 1 species
UACGGAGGGUGCAAGCGUUAUCCGGAUUCACUGGGUUUAAAGGGUGCGUAGGAGGGCAGGUAAGUCCGUGGUGAAAUCUCCAAGCUUAACUUGGAAACUGCCAUGGAUACUAUCUGUCUUGAAUAUUGUGGAGGUGAGCGGAAUAUGUCAUGUAGCGGUGAAAUGCUUAGAUAUGACAUAGAACACCAAUUGCGAAGGCAGCUCGCUACACAUAUAUUGACUCUGAGGCACGAAAGCGUGGGGAUCAAACAGG